GCCUGGCUAGCUCAAUCGGCUAGAGCGUUUGACUUUUACUAUCAAAAGGCUGCGGGUUCGAGUCCCGCGUCGGGCU
rnacentral:tRNA from 1 species